rnacentral:rRNA from 1 species
GUGGGGAAUAUUGGACAAUGGGCGAAAGCCUGAUCCAGCCAUGCCGCGUGUGUGAAGAAGGUCUUCGGAUUGUAAAGCACUUUAAGUUGGGAGGAAGGGCAGUAAGCUAAUACCUUGCUGUUUUGACGUUACCGACAGAAUAAGCACCGGCUAACUUCGUGCCAGCAGCCGCGGUAAUACGAAGGGUGCAAGCGUUAAUCGGAAUUACUGGGCGUAAAGCGCGCGUAGGUGGUUUUGUAAGUUGAAGGUGAAAUCCCCGGGCUCAACCUGGGAACUGCCUCCAAAGAUGCAUGACUAGAGUACGGUAGAGGGUAGUGGAAUUUCCUGUGUAGCGGUGAAAUGCGUAGAUAUAGGAAGGAACACCAGUGGCGAAGGCGACUACCUGGACUGAUACUGACACUGAGGUGCGAAAGCGUGGGGAGCAAACAGGAUUAGAUACCCGGGUAGUCC